rnacentral:ncRNA from 1 species
GCCGCCUACCGGCUUUGGUUGGUGGGGGCGGCUCCUCUGUUGUGGAUAAACGGGAAACCCGACUCUACAAACCCGAGGAAAGGCUGCACAGCUCAAGGAAGUUGGUGAACUGAUGACAGGGAAGCUGGCGACCGAAGCCCCGGUGAACGGCGGCCAUAACUAUAACGGUCCUAAGGUAGCGAAAUUCCUUGUCGGGUAAGUUCUGACCCGCACGAAAGGC